AUGGAGGUAUCAAUUUAACACUCUUGUGGCUGUAUAAUUUAGAGAAAGGCACCUCCCCUUCACAGUAGUUUAUCAUGUCAAAGACCCAUGGAAAACCAGUAUAUCUGCAGGAUGCUGUUUGAAGCUCAAAGUGGGUUGAUUUUCAUCAGUGCAAUUGAUACUCUAAGUUCUGUGCUGAAAACUGUAGCUGAACAUUUUUACAAAAUGAUCUACUGAAGAUCUAGGCAUGGGCACUACAGCAGAUGGAGUGACUUGGGUAUAUUGAUGCCUGCCAGUGCCUCACAAAAAGAAAACUUCAAUGCCAAUUUAUGUAACAUGACUGAGAUACAGGCACACUCCCAUGACUGAAAAUCAUAAUGAAGUCACAAUAAGCCCUGGCCGGGAACGUGUGAAGUUCUCCAAGUAACUAUUUACCAAGCUGGUGGAAACCGUCCGGGAAGAAGACAAUAGGGACGGGGUAGCGAAGCCAAUAAAGUAAGAAAGAGGAAAGCUUUCAUUCAUUCAACCUCUCAGCCUAUUGCAAGCCGUCUUCUGACAGAGCAGAUUUCAGUUACUCACGGGUGGUUGCUUUCCACGACUUCCCUUCACACUAUCACCAACCCAGAACUGAAACUCUCAAAGGAUGAAUAUGGAAGAAGCGAAUAAUGGCUGCAAAGCGCUGACUCCUCUUCUUACAGAGAAGUAUGUUUCAGGGAGUGAUCACAUGGGGGCAGCUCCCUUUCGCACCUUUGCCCUUAGAAAAGAAAAGAGUUGCUGCCUUUUCCUUUCUGUCAACGGGUUUGAAGCAAAACUGCCCUCAACUAGAAUGGCCACCGUCUUCUUUAGCUCUGCCGAGAGCGCGUCUGCCCCUCGCUAAAAUGGCCGAGCCAUCCCAUUGAUUCAACCUAACGGACGCAAAACGACUACCAGUUGUAAAGAUGGCUGAUGCUUAUUACCUCCUUGAUAGAGGGGAGGUGUUUAUGUUGCAGCUCGGUUUCUUCUUUUUUCUCUUCCAUCCUCUGCUAAUGCUGAAGAAUGCCGAAGCAACGGGAGACAAAACUCGUUCAGUGGUUAUUGUAUCUCAGUGAACGGGGUUGGGCAGCCGAAGAAAGAAAGAAAACCUAAUAGAGCCUAGCAGAAAUAUUUGCAUAUCACAAGGAGGAACUUAAUAAGCAGGCAGCCUGAACUUUCCCCCUUGACCAAUUUCUGGAAACCUUCUUCCCACACCCUAUUCGGCAUUUCUAUCAUUAUUUAAAGUGCCUUUACCGUUACUUUGUUUUUCAGUAUUUCUUGUUUCCCAGCGGUUGACAGCCUUAAUUUGACCUAGCAAUUUGAAAAUUGGG